rnacentral:rRNA from 1 species
UGGGGAAUAUUGCACAAUGGGCGCAAGCCUGAUGCAGCCAUGCCGCGUGUAUGAAGAAGGCAUUCGGGUUGUAAAGUACUUUCAGUCGGGAGGAAGGUGGUAAGGUUAAUAACCUUAUCAAUUGACGUUACCGACAGAAGAAGCACCGGCUAACUCCGUGCCAGCAGCCGCGGUAAUACGGAGGGUGCAAGCGUUAAUCGGAAUUACUGGGCGUAAAGCGCACGCAGGCGGUCUGUCAAGUCGGAUGUGAAAUCCCCGGGCUCAACCUGGGAACUGCAUUCGAAACUGGCAGGCUAGAGUCUUGUAGAGGGGGGUAGAAUUCCAGGUGUAGCGGUGAAAUGCGUAGAGAUCUGGAGGAAUACCGGUGGCGAAGGCGGCCCCCUGGACAAAGACUGACGCUCAGGUGCGAAAGCGUGGGGAGCAAACAGG